UGGAGUUACAGACUGUUGGAAGCCACCA
rnacentral:piRNA from 1 species